rnacentral:miRNA from 1 species
GUCUUUUUCAACAGGUUUC